CCCUUAGAUGUCCUGGGCCGCACGCGCGUUACACUGAUGCAUUCAACGAGCUUAUAACCUUGGCCGAGAGGCCUGGGCAAUCUUGUUAACGUGCAUCGUGAUAGGGAUAGAUUAUUGAAAUUAUUAAUCUUGAACGAGGAAUUCCUAGUAAACGCAAGUCAUCAGCUUGCAUUGAUUACGUCCCUGCCCUUUGUACACACCGCCCGUCGCACCUACCGAUUGAAUGGUCCGGUGAAAUCUUCGGAUUGAGACUUUGAUUUCUUCACGGAAAACGCUGUUUUAAAAAGUUGAUUAAACCUUACCAUUUAGAGGAAGGUGAAGUCGUAACA
rnacentral:rRNA from 1 species